CCUACGGGUGGCAGCAGUGAGGAAUAUUGGUCAAUGGACGAGAGUCUGAACCAGCCAAGUAGCGUGAAGGAUGACUGCCCUACGGGUUGUAAACUUCUUUUAUAAAGGAAUAAAGUGAGGCCCGUGUGCCUUUUUGUAUGUACUUUAUGAAUAAGGAUCGGCUAACUCCGUGCCAGCAGCCGCGGUAAUACGGAGGAUCCGAGCGUUAUCCGGAUUUCUUGGGUUUAAAGGACGCGUAGAUGGGUUGUUAAGUCAGUUGUGAAAGGUUGCGGCUCAACCGUAAAAUUGCAAUUGAUACUGGCAGUCUUGAGUAUAGUAGAGGUAGGCGGAAUUCGUGGUGUAGCGGUGAAAUGCUUAGAUAUCACGAAGAACUCCGAUUGCGAAGGCAGCUUACUAAACUGCCACUGACAUUGAUGCUCGAAAGUGUGGGUAUCAAACAGGAUUAGAUACCCCUGUAGGC
rnacentral:rRNA from 1 species